rnacentral:rRNA from 1 species
UACGUAGGGUGCGAGCGUUGUCCGGAAUUACUGGGCGUAAAGAGCUCGUAGGCGGUUCGUCGCGUCGGCUGUGAAAUCCCGAGGCUCAACCUCGGGUCUGCAGUCGAUACGGGCGGACUGGAGUUCGGCAGGGGAGACUGGAAUUCCUGGUGUAGCGGUGAAAUGCGCAGAUAUCAGGAGGAACACCGGUGGCGAAGGCGGGUCUCUGGGCCGAUACUGACGCUGAGGAGCGAAAGCGUGGGGAGCGAACAGG